rnacentral:rRNA from 1 species
UGGGAAUUUUGGACAAUGGGCGCAAGCCUGAUCCAGCCAUGCCGCGUGCGGGAAGAAGGCCUUCGGGUUGUAAACCGCUUUUGUCAGGGAAGAAAUCUUCUGAGUUAAUACCUCGGGAGGAUGACGGUACCUGAAGAAUAAGCACCGGCUAACUACGUGCCAGCAGCCGCGGUAAUACGUAGGGUGCAAGCGUUAAUCGGAAUACUGGGCGUAAAGCGUGCGCAAGGCGGUUUUGUAAGACAGAGGUGAAAUCCCCGGGCUCAACCUGGGAACUGCCUUUGUGACUGCAAGGCUUGAGUGCGGCAGAGGGGGAUGGAAUUCCGCGUGUAGCAGUGAAAUGCGUAGAUAUGCGGAGGAACGCCGAUGGCGAAGGCAAUCCCCUGGGCCUGCACUGACGCUCAUGCA